GAUGAACGCUGGCGGCGUGCCUAAUACAUGCAAGUCGAGCGAACGGACGAGAAGCUUGCUUCUCUGAUGUUAGCGGCGGACGGGUGAGUAACACGUGGAUAACCUACCUAUAAUACUGGGAUAAUUUGGGAAAACGGGAGCAAAUACCGGAGAAUAUUUUGAUCCGCAGGGUUCAAAGGUAAAAGACGGUCUUUCGGGCAGUAAUCGCUGGUUCCGCGCUGGAUUAGCUGGUUGGUAGGUUAACGGCUUACCACGGCAACGAGGCGUAGCCGACGUGAGAGGGUGAUAGGCCACACUGGAGCUGAGACACGGUCCAGACUCCUACGGGAGGCACCAGAAGGGAAUCUUCCGCAAUGGGCGAAAGCCUGACGGAGCAACGCCGCGCGAGUGAUGAAGGUCUUCGGAGCGUAAAACUCUGUUAUUAGUUAAGAACAGAUUUGGAAGGAACUGAGCACAUAUUGACGGUAACUAAUAAGAAAGCCACGGCUAACUACGUG
rnacentral:rRNA from 1 species